rnacentral:rRNA from 1 species
UACAGAGGGUGCGAGCGUUAAUCGGAAUUACUGGGCGUAAAGCGCGCGUAGGCGGCUUUGCAAGCCGGAUGUGAAAUCCCCGGGCUUAACCUGGGAACUGCAUUCGGGACUGCAUGGCUAGAGUAUGGGGGAGGGAAGUGGAAUUUCAGGUGUAGCGGUGAAAUGCGUAGAUAUCUGAAGGAACAUCAGUGGCGAAAGCGACUUCCUGGACCAAUACUGACGCUCAUGUGCGAAAGCGUGGGGAGCAAACAGG